UGCAUGCUAUUCAGCUUCUGGGGAAC
rnacentral:piRNA from 1 species